GGGGUGAGUAACGCGUGAGUAACCUGCCUUACACAAGGGGAUAGCCGUUGGAAACGACGAAUAAUACCCUAUGAAACUAUCACUUCGCAUGAAGCGAUAGUCAAAGUGUUAGCGGUGUAAGAUGGACUUGCGUCUGAUUAGCUAGUUGGUGAGAAAAAGACCCACCAAGGCAACGAUCAGUAGCCGGCUUGAGAGAGUGUACGGCCACAUUGGGACUGAGACACGGCCCAG
rnacentral:rRNA from 1 species